GGGGCGGGGGGGGGGGGAGGUUGUGGGGGCCGGCCACGCAGCGCAGGCGCCGGUUCCGGUCCGGGUGGGGCGUGGCGUGGGGGCGGUGCGGUGCGGUUCUGGGGCAGCUUUGGGGGCCUGGGGGCGCGUAGGGAUGGGUCGGGUGUGGCGGGCGGCGACUGUGGGUGUCAGGAGGGAGAUUUGGGGGUCUGGCGGAGCCGCCUGUGGUGGUGGGUGACGAGGAGGCUGUGAGGGAGAUGGUGGAGCCGGCCAAUUCGUGGGGCGCUCGCGGGCCAAGGGAUUGGAGUGUCUGUGAUAAAUCAGUGAGCCGGGGUUCGCGGCGGACGAGUGGUUGUGGAGCCGGCGGAGGGAAUUAAGUGGGUGAUGGGGCCCUUUGGCGCGAGUCAUAGUGGGAGCGGCUUUGGGCGGGAGGCCGAGACUCGUGGGCUUGGCAGUUCUGGGCAUGAGGGGCAGGGAUCGGGAGAGAGGAAGUCCCUGAAGCUGCCCCAGUGUGGAGACGCUGGACGGCGAGUGUGUGCCGUCGGGGAUGCAGCCGAAGGGUGGUUUUCCGGGGUAAUUAGGACUCUGCUCGUCAGUGAUUUAGAUGCCUCCGGGUCGGCAAGUGGGCCCAGUGUGGAUGAACCAUAAGAUCUUCGUGGAGGUCUGUUUGGGGGAGCUCAGAAUUGGCGGCCCGAGGAUUUCUUCGACUGGAAGGCCUGUUGGUUUGUGACAGUGCUGGGUUGUACUGAGCCCUGGGCUCCCGGGAAGCAGGAAGGUUAAGACGUCUCCCCCCCCCCCCCCCCCCCCCCCCCCCCCGUCUCCUGUUCCAGGAAGCAUGUGUUCUGCGUAACACAUGCCCCCUUGUUGGCCGAUGACGCGGCCGGAGAGCAAUCCUCCCAACUCCCAUCCUUUGCCCCAUCAGCGAUUAGCCGGACUGUCGUCCCCACUGAACGGUCAGGAGAAGAUGAUUGUUACUGAGACGUGGGACUUAAGCCUCCUUCUCCCCCACCUCCCCACCCCCGCCCCAGGCCCUGAACUUUGAUUCACUCCCUGCUUGAGCUGCUUUGCGCCCCCUCCUUCCCGAGAACUGUCCUCCUCUGAUCUACUCUCUGAUCAUCCUGCCCUUUCCUUCCACGCUCCUGGUUCUUCUGACCUUGUAUGUCCCUUUCCGUGGAAGGAACCACGUAGGUCUUUGCCCUGCGUAGAUGCUGGCAACUCUUCCGGCCACAGCGUUCUCCCUAUUGUAGCAUGCCCCCGCCUCCUGCAGGAACUGUGGAAUAAGAUAUUUCUUUACAUUCUAUUUGGCAGUUCAGCGGUAGCUGUUUCGAUGGAGGGGGAGGACCGGGGUGGCCUGUGCCGCUGAGUGGUCUGGGCCUGUGUUUGGGAGAUUUUGUGGUUGAGGCAUCAGGGACUGGGGCACUGCGUGUCAGUGACAAGGUCUGGAUACGAGUUGGUGGGUGGCCUGUGGGGGUUGUGAGCGAGCAGACAGUGCGGGUAGUAACUGGAAUCAUUGGAGGUAGCGUGUUAGGGCAGGGCGGAGCUGGCGGCCCGUUCAGGUGACGAUUGUGAGGAUCUGUAGGGGUGCUAGUGAAUGGUGGGUGAGCGUGGGGUAGAUUAGAAAGUGGGGUGUCAUGGAAGUGAGUGAUUGGGUCCCCGUAUGAUUACGGAUUGGGCAUCCCCUGGGUUCAGUUCUGUGAGAACCGGUGAUUGGGGCACUGUCAAGGUGAGUGGAUGGGCAACUGAAGGAGGGAGGGCUUGGAAUUCUGUAGGGGUCCUUUGGGACUCAGUGUUGAGGAUUGCACUGACUCCAUUCCUAGUCAAUGAACAGACUCUGCUGAGAUUACUGGAUGGGAGCGUAGGGGAGCCAGUGACGGUUUCUCGGUGUUAGUGUUUAGAAGCCUGUGGGAAUCAGUGAUGAGGGGCUGUGCCGUCAUAAUCAGUCAAGGGACCUAUAGGAAUGACCAUGCGGGGUGCUUGGGGCUGAGCGAGGGAGAGCCUGGAAUGAUCAGGAAUAAAGGGUCCUAAGGGUAUCUGAUUGGGGGCGGGGCUGUGGAGAGACUUUGGAUUUCAUUGAUUGAUGCACUUCUGUGCGUUGGUUUUGUCACUUGGGGGUUGGUGAUUGGGGGCUUUGUAGAGCAGUCACUGGAGACCUACCAUAUGGGUAAUUGAAGGUCCUGGAGGGGCGGCCUGUGGAAUCAAUAAUGAGGGUCCUAGUGGGAUGAUGGGCUAGUGGGAUAAGUGGGAGUGGGGCUUAUGGGGCUCAGUGGUUGUGCGGUCUGAAAUUUGUGAGGUCCCUGUUGUGUUCAGUGAAAUGGGGGCUGGAGAACUCUCAGGUGGGUGGGUGGGGAACUGGGAGCCUUGUGAAUGCUAAAGGUUGGUCCGUGGGGUGGGGUGGCUGGGGGUUCAGUCAUUCAAGGUCUGUUGGACCUCGUGUGUGAUUGAGGCCAUCUUUGGUGAUUAUUGGCCUGUGUGGUUGUGUUUGUGGGUGUGGGUAGUCUCAAUGAGUGCUGACCAUGCGUUGGCUCAGGCAAGACUCUCACAGAGUGACUUCUGUUAAACGACCGUAUUCUCUUUUGUUCUUUGGUCUUUCUCACCCAGCACAUCACUUUGUUGGUCAGUGACGGCUCCUUUUACUGAAAUAUUUCCUCACUUAAACGUUCUCAGCUGGUUCAGCCUCAUUGCCCUCCUCUAUCCCCGAACCGCCUUCAGCUCUCUCUAGCUCCAGCCGUUUGAGUGUGGUGCUCCCUGAUGGGCAUGCUCUUCCCACAGGCGUCCACAGUGGGUUCCAUCCUCUGUUCAGGACUCAGCUAAAAGUCAUUUCCAGGAUGCCUUUUCUGGCCAUGGGAAGGAGCACCCUCCACCCACCCCUUCCUCUGUCACAUUUAAAAUUUCCCGUGAGCACUCUUUUAGUCUGACGUUACUUUAUUGUUUUCCAUCUUAGAAUGCAUUUCUUAGAGGACAGGGACCCUGUCUGUCUUGGGACCUUAAGUCGUCUCUCCCGUGUGUUCAGAACAGGGCCUGGUUGUGAGCGGCAUUCAGCAAACUGCUGCUCUCCUGGCCCGUAAACAAGGCUGUGCAUAUGUGUGUGAGUGUGUGUGUACAUGAGAGCGCUGAAUGUACAUGUGCGUGUGAGGGCGGGGUGCAGGAGUAUGUCGGGAUCCUGAAGGAGGAAACGAGAGUGGCAGUUUGGGAUGUUAGCAUAGUCGGCACAUUCCCUUUUCCAGAGGUGAGAGAAGAUCGUGCAUCAACCCCAAAGGGGUCCAAGCUAAACAGAGGCUCCUGGGGCAGGUGGGCCUUUGAUCUCAGGGACCUCAGGUUCGGAUGGCAACAACUCUCUUUUUUCACUCAGGGCUUCCCAGACUGUUGAGACCCCUGUGUCCAGGAGAGCUCCCUGGGCAUCUUGGAAAGAGGCAUUUCACCUUUGAAUGUUGCUCUCUGCUCUCCUAGAACCUUUGCUCAGAGACUCGCCCUCCAGCCCUACACUCUUCACACUGGACUAAACAGAGUCCAGUUUCCCUGGGGGGAUCUGACUUUUAUGUAUGUACACCACAAGUGGGCAAAACCCCUGUCAUUCUUCUCCCUUCCCACUUUUAGGAAUUUUUCCUGCUCUGGAUGCCCUUGCUCUGCCCUCUACCACUGUUUUGGGUCAAUAUUCAAAAUCCAGCCUGUCUUUCGACUCUUUCUUGACUGCCCCGCAAGAUCCUCCUUAUAUUGUUGAUGUGGGAACCUCAAUAUAUGGGAAAACAGGAAUGUGACAGAUGAAUUGGAAGAUGUAUUUUUAAAAGCCUGAGUGGAACUUCUCAGGAUGAAAACAACAAUAUCUGAAAAUUAAAA